GGUGCUACAUAUGGUGGUGGCAAAUAUAGACAGCAGGACGUGGCCAUGGAAUUGACCAGGCCUAAAAUUGGAUGGCGCUAGAGCGUCGGACCUAUAACGCGACGUGAUUGCAAGCUGCACCCAUGGAUUUGUACAUUAUGUGGGCGUGUGUAAUUGCAGGUACGUUCGUGAUGGUGACAAUUAGCGCGUUUUGGUGGAGCCGUUACGGGUGCAAAUCUUGAUGGUGGUAAUAGAUAUACAAGUGAGAACGUUGAAAGGUGAGUUGAAGACAAGUUCCAUGGGGAUGGCAUUUGGCCAUGAUCCAGCCGCUUCUAAUCAAUCCGAUGAAUUAGUACAGAGUAGUGGAGUGCCUUAUAUGUUUCUGUGUUGAAUUGCUGUGUCUUAACAGACAUAUCUGCAUCCCUUUAAUACGCUUUUAGUGCUAGUCAUUCAGUCCAUUCAUCCAUCUCUCUUAUUUGGUUGUAUGCAAUGCACCAGUGUGUGUACGCAUCCUCAAAUCGAGAUUGUUUGCGCAGCUGUGA
rnacentral:ncRNA from 1 species